rnacentral:misc_RNA from 1 species
UCAAACUUGGUCAUUUAGAGGAAGUAAAAGUCGUAACAAGGUCUCCGUUGGUGAACCAGCGGAGGGAUCAUUAGAGAGUUGACCCUAACUCCUUACCCUUUGUGAAAAUACCUUUUAUGUUGCUUCGGCAGGCCUGCAAAGGUCUGCCGGAGGUCUACGAACUUCUGUUUUAUGAAAAAAGUUACUCUGAAAAUUAUGUGGGAAAAUAAAGUUAAAACUUUCAACAACGGAUCUCUUGGUUCUGGCAUCGAUGAAGAACGCAGC